AUUGAACGCUGGCGGCAGGCCUAACACAUGCAAGUCGAACGAGUGGCGGACGGGGGAGUAAUGUCUGGGAAACUGCCCGAUGGAGGGGGAUAACUACUGGAAACGGUAGCUAAUACCGCAUACCAUCAGAUGUGCCCAGAUGGGAUGUGCUAGUUGGUGGGGUAACGGCACACCAAGGCGACGCUCCCUAGCUGGUCUGAGAGGAUGACCAGCCACACUGGACCUGAGAGACGGUCCAUACUCCUACGGUAGGCAGCAGUGGGGACUAUUGCACAAGGGGCGCAAGCCUGAUGCAGCCAUGCCGCGUGUAUGAAGAAGGCCUUCGGGUUGUAAAGUACUUUCAGCGGGGAGGCGUUACCCGCAGAAGAAGCACCGGCUAACUCCGUGCCAGCAGCCGCGGUAAUUC
rnacentral:rRNA from 1 species